rnacentral:lncRNA from 1 species
GGAAUUCUUUUAGCUUUUCACCAUUGAGAAUGAUGUUCUCUGUGGUUUGUCAUAUAUGGCUUUUAUUAUAUUGAGAUGUGUUCCCUCUAUGCCCACUUUCUGAUGGGUUUUUAUUAGAAAUGGGUGUUGGAUUUUGUCAAAAGCUUUUUCUGUGUCUAUUGAGAGGAUCAUAUGGUUUUUCUUCUUCAGUUUGUUAAUGUGGUAUAUCACACUGAUGGAUUUGCGGAUAUUGAAGAACCCUUGCAUCUCUGGGAUAAAUCCCACUUGAUCAUGAUGUACAAUCCUUUCAAUGUACUGUUUGGAUGUGGUUUACUAGUAUUUUGUUGAGGAUUUUUGUGUCUAUGUUCAUCAGUGAUAUUGGCCUGUAGUUUUCUUUUUUUGUGGUAUCUUUGUCUGGGUUUGGUAUCAGGGUGGUGGUGGCCUCAUAGAAUGAGUUUGGGAGUAUCCCUUCCUCUGCAAUUAUUUGAAAUAGUUUCAGAAGGAGAGGUGUUAGCUCUUCUCUAAAUGUUUGAUAGAAUUCGCCUGUGAAGCCGUCUGGUCCUGGACUUUUGUUUGUUGGAAGUUUUUUAAUCACAGUUUCAAUUUCAGUUCUUGUGAUUGGUGUGUUCAUCUCUUCUAUUUCGUCUUGGUUUAGUCUUGGAAAAGUGUACUUUUCUAAGAAUUUGUCCAUUUCUUCUAGGUUUUCUGUUUUAUUGGCGUAUAGUUGCAUAUAGUAGUCUCUUAUGAUCCUUUGUAUUUCUGUGAUGUCUGUUGUUACUUCUCCCUUUUCAUUUCUAAUUUUAUUGAUUUGAGUCCUCUUUUUUUCUGGUUAAGUCUGGCUAAGGGUUUAUCAAUUUGGUUGAUCUUUUCAGAGAACCAGCUUUUCGUUUCCUUGAUCUUUUCUAUGGUUUUCUUUGUUUCUAGUUCAUUGAUUUCUGCUCUGAUCUUUAUGAUUUCUUUCCUUCUGCUAACUUUAGGUCUUGUCUGUUUUCCUGUUGUUUAUUUGAGCUUUUUGUUCUUUCCUGAGGUGGGCUUGUAUUGCUAUAAACUUUCCUCUUAGAAUGGCUUUUGCUGCAUCCCAUAGGUUUUGCUGUAUCUUUGUUGUCAUUUGCUUCUAGUUAUUUUUUAAUUUCCUCUUUGAUUUCUUCAGUGAUCCCUUGGUUGUUUAGUAGCAUGUUGUUUAGUCUCUAUGUGUUUGUGUUUUUUGCAUUUUUUUCUUGUUGAUUUCCAGUUUUAUAGUGCUGUGGUUGGAAAAGAUGCUUGAUAUGAUUUCAAUUUUCUUAAAGUUACUGAGGUUGGAUUUGUAGCCUAGGAUGUGAUCAGUCUUAGAGAAUGUUCCGUGUGCAGUUGAGAAGAAUGUGUAUUCUGUUGCUUUUGGAUAGAAUGUCCUAUAAAUACUAUUGAGUCCAUCUGGUUUAAUGCAUCAUUCAGGGCCUGUGUUUCCUUAUUGAUUUUCUCUCUGGUUGAUCUGUCCAUUGCUGUAAGUGGGGUGUUAAAGUCCCCCACUAUGAUUGUGUUAUUGUCGAUUUGUCCUUUUAAGGUUGUUAGCAGUUGCCUUAUAUAUAUUGUGGUGAUCCUAUGUUGGGUGUGUAGAUAUUUACAAUUGUUAUAUUUUCUUCUUGGAUUGAUCCUUUGAUCAUUAUCUAAUGACCUUCUUUGUCCCUUAAAACAUUCUUGAUUUUAAAGUCUAUUUUGUCUGCUAUGAGUAUUGCUACUCCAGCUUUCUUUUGAUCUCCAUUUGCAUGGAAUAUUUUCUUCCAUCCUCUCACUUUCAAUUUGUAUGUGUCCCUAGAAGUGAUGUGGUCUCUUGAAGAGAGCAUAUAUAUGGGUCUUGUUUUUGUAUCCAUUCAGCCAGUCUAUGUCUUUUGGUUGGGGCGUUUAGUCCAUUGACAUUUAAGGUAAUUAUUGAUCUGUAUGUUCUUAUUGCCAUUUUAUUAAUUGCUUUGGAUUUGUUUUUGUUGCUGUUUUUUCUGUCAUUCUUCUCUUGUUCUCCCCUUUUCUGGUUUGAUGACUAUCUUUAGUGUUGUAUUUGAGUUGAUUUUUCUUAUUUGUUUUUGUGUCAAUUGUAGAUUUUUGAUUUGCAGUUAUUCUGAAGUUUUGAUAUAAGAGUCUAUAUGUAUAUGAGAUUGUAUUAAGUUGUUGGUCUCUUAAUUGCAAGUGCAUCUCCAGUGUCCUGCAUUUGUACCCACCUCUUCUUAUGAUUUCUGAUUUUGGUGGUAUAAUUGUGCAUGGAUGAUUUGGUAUCUUUACUGUAUGUAUACCUUUACUGGUGAGCCUUGUCAUUUGUGGAAUUUUUGUUUCCUGUUGCUGUCUUUUCUUUUCUGCCUAGAGAAGCUCCUUUAGUAUUUGUUGUAAGGCUGCUUUAGUGUUGCUUAAUUCUCUCAACUUUUGCUUAUCUGCAAAGCUUUUGCUUUCUCCUUCAAAUCUGAAUGAGAACCUUGCUGGGUAGGGUAAUCUUUGUUGGAGGUUUUUUCCUUUCAUCACGUUAAGUAUAUCGUGCCACUCCCUUCUGGCCUGCAGAGUUUCUGCUGUAAAAUCUGCUGAUAACCUUAUUGGGGUUCCCUUGUAUGUUAUUUGUUUCUUUCCCCUAGCUGCUUUCAAGAUUUUCUCUUUGUCUUUAAUUUUGGUCAGUUGGAUUAAUAUGUAUCUCAAUCUAUUCCUCCUUGGGUUUAUUUUAUAUGGUACUUGUUAUGCCUCCUGGAUUUGAAAGAGUGGUUUCUUCCCCAUGUUAGGGAAGUUUUCAGCUAUUAUCUCUUGGAAUAUUUUUUUCUGUCCCCUUCUCUCUCUCUUCUCCUUCUGGCACCCCUAUGAUACAGAUGUUGGUGCGUUUCACAUUGUCCCAGAGUUCUCUGAGAUUAUCUUCAUUUGUUUUCAAUCUUUUUUCUCUUUUCUGUUCUGCAUCUGUAAUUUCCACUAAUCUGUCCUCCACCUCGCUUAUUUGUUUUUCUGCCUCCUGUAUUCUGCUGUUAGCUGCUUCUAGUGAUUUUUUUAUUUCAGUUAUUGUAUUUUGCAUCUCUUCUUGCUUAAGUUUUAUAUCUUGUAUCUCUUUGCUCAGUGUUUCCUGUAAGUUAUCCAUCUUUGCCUCCAGUUUAUUUCCAAUGUCUUGCAUCAUCUUCAGCAUCAACAGUCUAAAGUCUUUUU